AGUAGUAGCAGUGCAAGCAGGACUAGACUAGAUUAAAAAGUUGGUAGAAAGAAUAACUGACCGUUUGGACGUCACCUGGCUGCCAGACUUUCAUCUCGACUCUUCCCCCUGAGUAGCUGGCCUUUCUCUAAGCCACAAAACUGAGCAAGAAGCUGAAGAAGCAGCUAGACAGAGACAUGUACCUAGCCUUGAGAAUUGGGAGGCGUGGCUCAACUAGUUAGCCCAGCCCAGAGGAAUUGUUACCGUGGGUACUGAACAACAGUAGAAGUAGGGCUACCCCUGGCUUUACUGAAUUAACUAGCUGUGUCUGCUGUCUAGUUGGACCAGAUAUUUAGCUAGAUAAUGGGGUAGAGAAUAGUUGAGCGGUGCUGUGUGUAGCUUGAACUGUACUGGCUGGCAAGAAUCUAGUAAGCACCCUAUGCACUGAUAACUCGUCAGAAUGGAGGGUAUGUUCUAGGGAUCUGGACAGCUGUACAUCCAAAGGAGCCAGGGAGUGCCAAUCAUCUUCUCCCAGUCUCUGACACGCUAAACAAAACGAGCUAGAACUGGGAGUCCCAGCUAGCCGGAUCUAGACUAAUAGAAUGACAUGGAGGCGUGGUGAGGCCGGAUCCACACUAAUUGAUCUACCUAAAGACGCUCCUGUUCCAGAUUUUCACAAAUGGCAAGGAAGGAGCUUCCCAGAGGAGGAUCGUCAGGGUCAAAAGGUCUUAAUCAUAAAGCUGCUUCCGGAGGACUUUAAUUGAAAUUCCACUCAUCUACUCUUCCUUUAGUAUCUCCAAUUCACGUGGAGCUAAUCAAGCCAUACUAUGCUCAAGCCACAGCUUUUACAGAAUCAAAUGGCUGAAUCAACAUACAUGGCUCAGUCAGAACCAGAGGUAGAACUACCCCCAAAGCAAGAAGUAGUUGUAUGUAUUCUGAAAUGGGGAGCAGUGUACCAGUACACUAUUCCUGGAUUUUCAGUAAUAACAGUUUCUCUUAGGCAUGCUGAAAUUCAAGCACAACAAGACAAUGAAAUCCUACUUCUGGAUGUCUUUUUCCGCAAUGAAUCAUUGCCAGACACAAAUUUACUUCCUCUUCCAUUGACGGCUACUAUAGUCGAAGCUUGUUUAGUAGAGGGUGAGGAGUUUGCAAAUGAAGUGGAAGAGGUACUGAAUAUGCGACUGUACAGCGGAAGCGUUUUAGUGGUUUGGAAGUGGACAUGUGAUGACACGACAUGUGAUGACACGACAAUGUUCACUGAAAACAGUGAAGAAUCAUAUAAUAAUAUUAUUGUUCAAGAUUCUGACGAUGAAGACAAUGUUUCUAAUGAAGGUGAAGCAGUAGAUACUGUCAUAAUUAUGUAUGGCUACUGCUCGGGAACAUACCAUCACCUUUAAAUGCAUUGGUGCUACUCGUGACCAAGCUUGGCAGCAGUCAUUGCGAGCCGCUAGAGACAAACUCGAGAAAGGAAUAGUAAUACCAGUACGAUUAAAACCAGAACCGAACAAUGUUAGAGAUUCCAAAGCUAUUGUAUUUGAAUGUUAUUUGGAAGGAAAGUGGUUUUGUAUCGGCUACAUUGUGCAAGAGCUUUUGGAUGAAGUCCACGAUGUCAUCAAGAAGGGGCUUAUUGCCAGAGUCGAGUUUGACUGGAUAAAGUACAAGACUAAUUGGACAUAUUCAGGAUCUGGGUAUUUUGCCGGGAUUUCUAUAACAAAACUUGGAUUCUGGAGUGACAAAGUGGUUGCUUGUCAGAGUGGCAAGUGAUUAGAACAAUUAAUGAUGCAUUAAUUUUAAUUUCAAGUUUAAACGUUAAUUUCUGACUUUGGUAUCCAUGAGUAAAAUUAACGAUGAGAAAA